GACGACGCUGGCGGCGUGCUUAACACAUGCAAGUCGAACGGACGAGUGAGAUAAGUUUACUUAACUCACAAGUUAGUGGCGGACGGGUGAGUAACACGUGGAUAAUCUACCUGCAACACCGGGAUAACGCUGUGAAAACGGUGCUAAUACCGGAUACGUUCCCUUGUGCGCAUGUAUGAGGGAAGAAAGCUCAGGCGGUUGCAGAUGAGUCCGCGGCUGAUUAGCUAGUUGGUGAGGUAAAGGCUCACCAAGGCGAUGAUCAGUAGCCGGUCUGAGAGGAUGUACGGCCACACUGGGACUGAGAUACGGCCCAGACUCCUACGGGAGGCAGCAGUUGGGAAUCUUAGGCAAUGGACGAAAGUCUGACCUAGCGACGCCGCGUGAGGGAAGAAGGCCUUCGGGUUGUAAACCUCUGUCAUGGGGGAAGAAGUAAGUGACGGUACCCCAAGAGGAAGCCCCUGCUAACUACGUG
rnacentral:rRNA from 1 species